CCAAGGACUUCAAACUCAUUGUCCUGGCCUUCCGGAAGUACCUGUGAGUGAUUACUUGGCGUUCUGUGGGUGAAUAUUCAGUCAGUUCUCUUGUAAACCAGUUUUUACAAGUUGCUAUUGAAUUUGGAGGGGUUAUAGAAUGUUUGGCCUGAAGACGGUGGAAACCAUGAAAUUGAGCCAAAUCUACCCAAAUUUUAAGAAACUAAGAUUCAGGAAGAAAUACAACCUAUGAGGGUCACCGGGUGGCUAAAUGCCUUUAGAAUUCAUGUUUUCUUUUUCACAAGCAAAUGCCUUGUCAACUCCCUGUCAUUCCUCACUGGUAAACCCUGGUCAACUCAUUACACUUAAGCUUUUCUUUUUACUGAGCCCACACAGGGCUUUUUGACAGAUAUGACUGGUCACACUUUACAGAGCAAUUAUUCAGGUCACUUGUUGGUGAGUGUAUUGGAAUUCCCUCUUUAAAAAUUUUUUUUUCUUUAGAUUUGUUUUGGUUGCUGGGCAACCUAAUUGAAAGCCUUGUGCCUGCAGAGCAUGUGCUCUACCUACCAUUGUCCAAUAUCUUGGCACCUUAAAAAAGUUUAACUGAUAUAUAAAAACGUAAAAAUUGUACAUACUAAUGGAAAAUUCCCUCUUGAAAGCAAUUUAGCAGCGUAUAUGCAUAUUCUGAUUAUUCAGUAUUAUACUUCUACGAAACUAUCCAGUACACAAGUUGUUCGUAAUUACAUUUUUUUUAGUAUAAUGGUGAAAAAGUAGAAACACUGAAAAUUCAAUCCUAAAGAAAAAAAAAACAAUGGUUAAGUAAAUUGUGGGAGACCCAUUCAAUGGAAAUGUAUUGCUGUUUUCAGCGUUGGGGAUUUGAAUCUAGGGCCUUAUGCAUGCUAAGAACAUGUUCUAUCACAGAGCUAUACCCCAGCCCAAAAUGGAACUGUUUUACAUGCAUAUCUUUUGCAUUCUUCUGUUAAGGCCCUCAGUGACCACUAUAAGAGUUGUCUCCCUAUUUUAUUUUGUUCAUAAUCUUUAUUAUUGUCUCCUGCUACAUCUAAAAUGUAAACUGUAUUCAGGCCCCUGAGUGAUAGAUGGGUCAUACCCUUAUGACCCCAAGAAAGAGUGCCAACACUUAAGUGAGCAUUCAAUAAAUUUGUUGAAUUUUUUUUUUUUUGCAAUGGUGAGAUUUGAACCUAGAACCUCCCAUAUGCUAUGCUUCCACUGAGGUACAUCCCCAUCUCUUGAAUAAAUUUUUGACCAUAGAAAAUCAUCUCUGUGAAAAUCUAAUAAUGUAGAUGAUGCCAAUACAAAAACAUUUCAAGAGAUAACUGAAAAACAGAACAGUGCUGGGAAUGGUGAUCCUAGUGACACAGGAGGCUGAGGCAGGAAGAUCAAAAGUUUGAGGCCAGCCUCAGCAACUUAGCCAGGUCCUAAGCAACUAAAUGAGACCCUGUCCCAAAAUAUAAAAUGAAAAGGGCUGGGGAUGUGACUCAGUGGUUGAGUCCCCCUGGGUUCAAUUUUAAAAAAGAUUAUAUAAGUUACAUAAGUUAAUAAACAUGUAAUUUACUGUAAAAUGGAUCCUCCUGAGCAAGACACAAACUGUUUUUAAAAAUUUGGUAUAUUUUGCUAUAUAAAAAUUUUUUAAAUGCCAGACAUGGUAGUGCAUGCCUAUAAUCCCAGUUACCCAGGAGGCUGAGAUAGGAGGAUUGCAAGUGCAAGGCCCUCCUGGGCAAUUUAUGCCCUGCCUCAACAGAAAAAGACAAAACACUGGUGAUAUAACUCAGUGGAAGGGUGUCCCUGAGUUCAAUCCCUAGUGAACACACACACACACACAGAGAAGGAAUACCAGGAGGAGGACAAGAAGGAAGAAGAAGGUCGUGUUUUGGCUCAGUUUUAGAGGUUUCAGUCCAUAGUCAACUAACCCUGUUGCUUUGGGGAACAGUGGGAUUGCAUGGCAGAGAAAGCAGUUUGCCUCAUAGAGGACAUAAAGCAAAGAGACAAACAGCCAGUGACCCAAUAUCCCUGUAAAAAGCACACCCCCAAUGACCUAACUUCCUUUCACUAAGUCCUGACUCCUAAAGGUUUUACCACCUCCCAACUGGGCAGUGGUAGGGGUGGGGAGACCAAACCAUCAACAUGUGGGCAGGGAAAUUUAAAAAAAAAAAAAAAAAAAAAAAAAAAAAUAUAUAUAUAUAUAUAUAUAUAUAUAUAUUUUUUUUUUUUGUAGAUGGACACAAUACCUUUAUUUUAUUAUUUUUUAAAUGUGGUACUGAAGUUUGAACCCAGUGCCUCACACAUGCUAGGCAAGUGCUCUACCACUGAGCUACAACUCCAGCCCUGAGGAACUUUUAAAAUCCAAACUAUAGAAGUAUUAAAGCUUUAAAUUUAACACAUAAAUCUAUGAACCAGGCAUGGUGGUGCAUGCCUAUAAUCCCAGCAGUUGGGGAUGUUGAGGCAGGAGGAUCGCAAGUACAAAGCCAGACUCAGUAAAAGCCAAGAUGCUAAGCAACUCAGUGAGACCUUGUCUCUAAAUAAAAUAUAAAAUAUGGCUGGGGAUGUGGUUCAGUGGUCAAGUGCCCCUGAGUUCAAUCCCUGGUAAUGGAAAACAAACAAACAAACCAACCUAUGAAAAUACUAUAAGAUAAAAUAGAAAAAUAUGGGUUUUUUUUAUCUUGACAUAAAAAGAUCUUCUUUAGUAUAACCUGUAGGGUAGUCUCUUAAUUUACUGUAUAUGUAAUACAGAACAUAGCACUUUAACACACACCUAAAAGAAAAUCUACUCCAGAAAUAGAGUUUGCUGAAUUGUUUGAAAAGAGAAACAUUUGAUAAUUUCCUUUAGGCAUUUCUGUUCUUCCUGCUUGCCAAUUCCUCUCUUGUUCUCUUCCUCCCCUCUCUCUCUCUCUCUCUCUCUCUCUAUAUAUAUAUAUAUAUAUAUAUAUAUAUAUAUAUAUAUAUAUAUAUUUUUUUUUUUUUUUUUUUUACCAGGGAUUGGACUCAGGGGCAUUCGACCACUGAGCUACAUCCCCAGCCCUAUUUUGUAUUUUAUUAGAGACAGGAUCUCACUGAGUUGCUCAGCGCCUCGCUGAAUUGCUGAGGCUGGCUUUGAACUCGCAAUCUUCCUUCUUCUGCCUCCUGAGCUGCUGGGAUUUCAGGCGUGAGCCACUGUGCCUGGCCUUUUCCUCCUAAUAUUAAGAAAAAAAUAUAUAGUCCUUUAUUUUAUUUAGCUGUAGGUCAAUAAAAUACCUUUAUUUUACCCAUCUAUAUGUGGUGCUGAGGGUUAAACCCAGUGCCUCACAUGUGCCAUCAUGGCAGAAAGGGUGUGGAAUAGGAAAGCUGCUCAGCUCAUAGCAGCCAGGAAGCAGAGUGUAUAAGAGGAAGAGGUUGAGGAUAAGAAAUACCCUUCUAGUACAUGUCCCCUAGUGACCUACUUCCUCCAACCAUAGCAGGUCACAGUUUCUAGCAUCUCCAGUAGUAGAUAUUCAGGAUUACUCCACUGCAGAGAUCAUGAGAGCCCUCAUGAUCCAAUCACUUAUCAAAGGCCUCUAAACAUUGCUGCACUGGGAACCCUCAACACUUGACACUUUGGGAGACAAUAUAGAUCCAAAUCAUAACACAUAGCAAAAUAUCUAAUAAAAGUUGAUGCACAAGCUCCUGGGUUUAAUCCCCAGCAAUGUACAUAAUGAUUAAUAAGAAGAAGAAGAAGGAGGAGGAAUAAGAAGUAGUAGUAGUUGAAAAACAUUCUUGAGAAUCUAAAAUUAGUGUUAGUGGUUAGAGAUGUAACUCAAUGGGUAAAAUACUUGCCUAGUAUAUGCAAGGCCCUGAGUUUGAUUCCUAACACUAGAAAUGAAUAAACAAAGUUAAUAUUAGAAUAAAGAAAUCAUUUGUUAACAUAUGCUAUAUAGAAAGAAAAAUUAAGCCAAUUGUGGUGACACACACUUGUAAUCUCAGUGGCUUAUAAGGUUAAGGCAGGAGGAUUACAAGUUCGAAGUCAACCUAGCAACUUAGCAAGACCCUGUCUCAAAAUAAGAAGGGCUGGGGAUGUAGCUCAACGGUAGAGUGCCCCUGGGUUUGAUCCCCAGUACUGUGAACGAACAUAAUAAGCCAAUAUGAGGUUUUUGACUUCUGGCCAUGACAAAGCAAUGUUCUCUCACUGCAGACAAUUAAAAACCUGGUCAAAAUAUCUGAAACAGCUGUCUUCAGAUAAUGAAUUAAAAUAUCCAGUCAAGGAAUGAUCCUUGAGAGAAGAGAAACAAGGUUAGUCUGACGCUCACCCUCACUUUCUGUCUGGGGGCACUUUCUGGAGCAGAACACAAAGAAGAAUUGACCAAAGGGAACACAGUGCUAUUACUGAAACAAGAAAAAAAGAGAUUAUAGACCAAGGCAACAAAUAUGGCUGGAAUUCACAGUGCAGAAUCCUAAAGAAGAAACAUCUUUAAAAAGCGAGGUGGUAGGGAUGGGUCUUCUUGGAUAUUUGGUUAAAAAUAUUCACAAUCCAGGUAAAAUUACAUGAAGUAGAGCAGUAAAUGAAUGCAGAGAAUAACAAGCCCAGUACUUGAAAGCUGUGAGCUGAAUGAAGAUUCCAGAGCUGGCAUUAUGAGUAGAAGACAUUCAAACUCUAAUCAGCCAGAGUGUCCCCUAAGAGCUCCCAUGUUAAUGCAGGGAUAUUCAGAGGUGAUUAGAUUAUGAGAGAUGUGACCUAAUCAGUUCAUCAUAGUAUGACUAAACUAACUGGAUGGUAUCUAUAGGCAGAUGGGGCAUGGCUAGAGGAGGAGAGUAACUGGAGUGAUGCCCCAGAAAGGUUUAUCUUCCCUGUGGCCCCUGCUUCCUGACCACCAUGAAAAAUUGGAGCAUGACUACUCCUCCACACCCUUCCACCCUGAUGUCCUUCCUCGUUUUGGGCCCAAAGCAGUGGAGUUGGCCAACAUGGACUGAACCUCUGAAACUAUGAGCCAAUAUGUUUUCCCUUCCUUAAGUUGUUCUUUUCAAUUAUUUUGGUCACUGCCGCAGUCUGGCUGGGCACAAAUGCCGCAGUCUGGCUGGGCACACAAUCACGAGCCACCACACAGCUUGUAGAUUCAAACAGCAACUCUUUAUUCCCGAACUCACACCAGCCGUCUACAAUCACGUUCUGGGGAAAUCCACGUUCUCUGCCCAAAUCCCCGUUCUCUGCCCAAAUCCACCUCCACUGGGCUUCUAUCUCCAAAAUAUACUGUCUGAAUCCUUGAGAACUCAAGGGGAACUCAGGCAGCAGGAUACGCCCUAUUCCCAGCAGGAAUAAUCUUAAACCUUAAACCUGGAACCUAAACUGGGAACGCCCUAAACCCGAUUAUGUUAAACCGGGAACACCCUAAUCCGCUCUGGUCCUUGAGCAAGGUCAUCUACAUUCAAUGUCACUGCAACAUGGGGUACGCUGGCAAGGAAAUUGUCAUACCUACUUGGCUAAUGGCUCCCAGCAGGUCACAGUGACAAAUAUCUAACACAUUGGCUCACAAGGAAAGCAGUUUGCUCCACCAUAUGGUCCUGUGGAUGUGAAGCCUUUGCCAGAAGCCCGAAGUAAGGGGGCCACUAGAUCUUGAUUGGAACCUCCAGAACUGUGAGCUUAAAUAAACCCUUCAUUUUAUAAAUGAAUUAUUUCAGUUAUUUCAUUAUAGCAAUGGGAAGCUACCAUUAACUUACCAUUAUUAACUACCAGGACUUUCAGUACUCAGCAUAUAGUCAUAUUUGUGGCUGAUUUAUUAUUAUUUUCCAAUAACACAAACCAAAAUCAGCAAAGGGAAAGACACAAAGUAAAGUUCAGAGGAAACCAGGCUUGAUCUUCCAAGAAUUCUAGUGAAAUCAUAUAGGACAUGCUUCAUUCCUCUUGCAAAAAGUUGCAACUACAUGUCUACUGGGAAGCUCAUUAAACUUCAUACCCAAGUUUUUUUAAUAUUUAUUUUUUAGUUAUAGGUGGAUACAAUAUUUUAUUUUUAUGUGGUGUUGAGGAUCAAACCCAGUACUUCUCCCAUACUAGACAAGUACUCUACCUCUGAGCCAGAAUCAGUCCCAUACCCAAGUUUUUUAUUGGGAGCUGAUCAUAUAGGCCCUCUCAGGUAGCAUGUACUAAAAUUCCAGACUUCCACAAGGAAAGCAGUUCUUUAGUAUAAGCUAUAUUUUUUAUACACAAUUUGGUCACAAUGAGCCACUCUUACCAGUAUGGGGAUGGUUGGAACACCUUCUGAAAUCCAAAAUCCAAGUUCGUAGAUGCCAGCCAAGGUUCUUUAAAAGCAGAUCUUUCUUUAUUGUUUUAGUUGUAGAUGGAUACAGUAAAUUUAUUAUUUAUUUUUAUGCAGUGCUGAGGAUCAAACCCAAACCCAGUGCCUCACACAUGCUAGGGGAGCACUCUACCACUGCACAACCCCAGCCCUGAAAGUAGAUCUUUCUUUUUUUUUUUUUAAUUUUUUAAUAUUUUAUUUUUUAGUUUUUUGGCGGACACAGCAUCUUUGCUUUUGUAUGUGGUGCUGAGGAUUGAACCCGGGCCACACGCAUGCCAGGCGAGCGCGCUACCACUUGAGCCACAUCCCCAGCUCGAAAGUAGAUCUUUCUGUGGAUAACAGGCCCAGGCCUGCCACAUUCAUUCUUUUUUUUUUUUUUGUACACUAGCUGACAAGAGGAAGUCCAGCUCAAAGCAGAUUUCUAAACAAACCAAGAAAAGAUGAGAAGAGUGUCCACACGGAGCAAUGAUGGCACUAACCUGGUACAAGAAAACAGAAAAAAACUAGAUGAAAAAUACAUCUACAUAGGGCAACCUGUGCGUGGUGUUCAAGUGGGAAAAGGUAUCUGUGCAGGAGAGAAAAGAUGAAGCAAUAAGGGAUUGGUUACAAACUUGCAGAUGGAUUAAAAAAUAAGUAACAAUAUUAAGAAUAAUGGGAACCUG
rnacentral:lncRNA from 1 species